CAAAUUAGAGCUUGGAUAGAAAGUUUUUUACUUACAUUAAAAAGUUAAUUGUGUAACUCAAUUUAAUUUGA
rnacentral:tRNA from 1 species